AUUGAACGCUGGCGGCAUGCCUUACACAUGCAAGUCGAACGGCAGCACGGGAGCAAUCCUGGUGGCGAGUGGCGAACGGGUGAGUAAAGUAUCGGAACGUGCCCAGUCGUGGGGGAUAACGUAGCGAAGGUUACGCUAAUACCGCAUACGAUCUAUGGAUGAAAGCGGGGGAUCGCAAGACCUCGCGCGAUUGGAGCGGCCGAUAUCAGAUUAGGUAGUUGGUGGGGUAAAGGCUAACCAAGCAGACGAUCUGUAGCUGGUCUGAGAGGACGACCAGCCACACGGGAGCUGAGACACGGCCCAGACUCCUACGGGAGGCAGCAGUGGGGAAUUUUGGACAAUGGGCGAAAGCCUGAUCCAGCCAUGCCGCGUGCAGGAUGAAGGCCUUCGGGUUGUAAACUGCUUUUGUACGGAACGAAAAGGUUUGGCCUAAUAAGCUGAGCUCAUGACGGUACCGUAAGAAUAAGCACCGGCUAACUACGUGCCAGCCGCCGCCGUAA
rnacentral:rRNA from 1 species